rnacentral:lncRNA from 15 species
AUUGAGAGAGAAUCAGAGAGAGAGAGAGAGAGAGAGAGUACGACGCUGAAGUUGGCUUCCGAUUCGGAACUUAAGGGGAAAGNNNNNNNNNNNNNNNNNNNNNNNNNNNNNNNNNNNNNNNNNNNNNNNNNNNNNNNNNNNNNNNNNNNNNNNNNNNNNNNNNNNNNNNNNNNNNNNNNNNNCCCUCCUUCUUCAAUCUUGAAUUUAUUUACAGUAAUCCACAGUCAGGGCAGUUACGCUUUCCUGUUGUGUUGUACAAUAGCUUCAUUCAUCGGUUUCUGUCUCUUCCUGCUUUUCCUCUAUGUCCAGCACGUCCACAGAAACUGCCAAACAGAUUCAUCUAAAGACACUGACAUGGAAGAGAAGCCAAAGACAGGAGGCUCCUGAUCUGAGGGUGAGGACCCGAUGGCUCUGCUGAGGUCUCUGACCUUUUACCCCAGUGUCUGAGGUUUAUCCUGGCCUCCUCCAAGUGAACAUUUCUGACCUAAAGAGAAGUCUACUUUGAAGCCUGAUGAUCAACAAGCAGCUCUGCUUGACUUAAUUUUUGGGACAAUCAUCUCUUGUUGCACAUUUGAAUUCUGCUGUAGGUAGCUUGUAAAAGACACUUUAAUGAUUAAACAUUGCCUUUUCAGUGUGAAUGGGAAUGGAAGUAAAAGUGUGUGUGAUAUCUGCUCUGUGACACCUGCAAUAUAUCUGGUUGCUACUGUUGUGUAACUGUGACUCAGAUCAGACUCUGUAAGUCCUACUGUUUGUGAUUUCCUGUUGGCUGGAUGGAGCCACCAGACCUUAAUAACACAUGAUGAUGGAAUACAGAGACGUGGUUAGUUAGAGAUCUUUUAUUACUGGUCUCCCUUAUCUCUUCCAUUAUAAACACUUCCUCUACGCCUCUCACACAUCAAUACGCCACUUAAGACAAGUAGCUUGUAAACAUUUGAAAAAGCAUCAAACAAAUAGAAAACUGGACAGAACAUAGCAAGAACUGUGUCAUUUCUUUUUAAAACGAGAUUUUACAUUUCAAGGUAAGUUGAAGGAAAAACAUCAUCAGAAGAUACAAAUGAAGAAAUAUGCAAAUGACAAGUCCCAUAAGACUUGAUGGAGGAGCUUCAAAUGGCCUUUGGGGUUAUUAUCCAGCGAUUUUAUAGGUUUUUAUCAAAGUUGCUGCAAAAAAUGCAAUAUAAGCUACCAAUUCUAUUGGGAUCUGUUAUAAAUUCAAAUAAAUAAAUAUUGUGUGGUCGUGCCUAAUCACAAAUGUAAAUACUUUGAUUGUAAAAGAUUAGAUUUACCGUAUAAAAUAUGAAGUGCAUAAUUUUAUCCUCCCUUUGGGAAAAUAUACAUUUCUCAGUAAGCAAACAUCGACAACAUUUCAAAGAGGAAAUCUGAGUCAUAGAAAAGCAACAGAAUCCAAUACUACAGGAACCCCGAAAGAUUAAGUGCAAACGUUCCAUCACAACAUCUGCAUGUACAAUAUCAACACUAUAUCAAAACACUUUACAUAUAAAACAUAGAUUUAGAUUUCUCCCCAUAUAAGGCUUUGAUUCCCAAAAAUAGCCAAUGGCACCAUGGGGCCGCCGCCUCCCAGAUAUAUGAGAGGAAAACAUAAAGGAACACAUGCACAAAGAGAACCCAAAAUAACAGAACGUCUAACUAUCUGGCCGUUACAAAAAUAGAAAUGAAUCUUAAAAUUCUAUUGGUGUUACAGGAAAAUGAAAGGAGAUUACACAAAACAUAGUAAACAGGUUUUAUAUACUUUCUGAGUAAAUUUGUUAUCACAAACAUUUAGAAGCAGGUUGGAGACGUGGCCACCAACUCUAAAGCAUGGCCUGAUUAGAUUUACAUGCUCUGCAUCUGGACUCAUGUUGCUGUCUGUAUGUACAGGUAUGCAUCCUGAAGAGCACCGCAGCACAUUGAAGGUCCUGUAGUACAUACACAGAGUAAGCUGUGGCAGACCACAUGAGCUGCAGUGAACUCGGACACAAAACAUCCCUGUGAAGUUUUACUGCAAACUUCUGGGGCUCUGGUUUGGUCUACGCAAGGAUAUGGCAGAAAAAACAAACAACAAACGCUGUCGUAUACAGUUAGCUCCACACUAACUUUUAAAUGAUAGAACGUUAUCCACUUUUGGGAGAUUAACUUGGGCUUGGCUGUGGUAAGGCACCGUAUAUCAAUGUGACAGACAGCAGGCAGAGGGGGCAAAUGUCUUGUUAGUUGAGUAUGAGUCCCCCCUCCCCCUACAAGAUUCGCUGGUCAUCCAUCCCUGGGUUAGAAAGGGACACUUAGGUAAAGAAACACUUAAGUGUGUUCUAUCCAAGUAUUGUGUAAACAAGUGUGAUGUACAAUUUCCACAUUUGAUAGCAUAGAAAUGUGGGGUCUCCCUCUUGAGUCUGCGUCUCAGACUUAUGGCUUUAAAGUCAUUUACAAAACAGGUAUAAGCCUUUCAUGGCUGAUCAUCUAGAGGAGGGGGUUUUAGGGCAGGAAGGUGCUUCAAUGCUCCUGGAUUAAAGGUUGAUCUAUUUCAGAUGGCUAAGGCUCGGCAAAGGAUGAGGCUGGACUGUUCAAAGUCUAGCCGCUAAGAUUUGGAGGUUCAGGCAGAGAUAAAAUAACUGCACCGACGUUGCAAGCAACAUUAAUCAAAGCCCAUUGAUUUACAACAAAGAAAACAGUCAAACGUUUUCUUGAAUAUUUUCUAUCUCUUAACAAUUUUGAUUUAAAAACUGGAAGUAAGUGCCCUUAUCGUGGUGGCUGCCUUUAACAAUGUAGAGUUCAUUUUCAUUAUCAAAUACAGGAUUUGGGUUGUUGCUUGCAGAGUCGAUGCGCAUAAACUGUUAUGGCUUCACUUUAUUCAAUUCCCACAUGAAAGCUUACCGGCUGGAGACACACCAGGCCACACUGGCUUUCAGGGCUAUUCCACUGUAUAUAUAUAUGCAUUAGAACAGUUACAUAGGGGCAAGACUCAAGGUUCAGCUUGGAUUAUGGCCACACAUCACGAUAAGACAGGCAAGGUAAAAGUAUGGCUAAAGUCAGCCAACAUUUGACAGCAGCAAACAGUAUACACUCAGGCAUGUGAGGCGAGUUUGAGAGCUGGAGAGUUGCAGGUAAACAUGCAGGUUAUCAGGUUAAAGCACUACCCUUCAACAAGAGUAAAAGUAAAGGACAGAGCACAAAAAGAACGGAGUCCAUGUCAGCAGAGGAGAGAAAAAGUUAAAAACUAACUGAUAAUGUCUUUUUUGGCAGUAACACUGUUGCACAAGAGAAGAAGGAAAUUCUAUUAAAGGAAAGAUUCAGUUAUCUGCAAUCCCACUGGUCUGUGUGUCAAAGUAUGAAGCAGAUUGUCGCUGCUGAGGGUCCAAUCCACAUGCACCAACUGUUGCCAUGGAAAUUCCUCCCUCCUUCGAACUGUUGUGACUGAGGAUUCCAAAAAGCCAGAGAAAAUGAAUCAAAAUGAAAGUGCAUAAGGAACGGUGGCAUCAGUGUCUAUGAGUACAGGUUAGCAUCCGCUCAGAAAACAAACUGAAUGUUGAUUGCCAACAUUUCUCCAGAUCCUCCCUCCACAAGUCUGACUGUAGUGUGAAUUCUGUGGCUGUGAACUUAAAGCACCGGAGUGAUGAGGAAUGGCAAUAACUGAGCUCCCACAUAAUUGUCCUGGAUGUGGGAGUAGGGGAUGGAGCAGUGGGGGGAGUGUCUGGCUGUCUGGGUCCAAAUGCAGUGA